GUUUGGAGGAUUGGGACUCCGCCAUGGAAAUGGUGAAGCUUUGGGUUGUGUUGAGCCUGGUGAUGGUGAUCCUGAGGCCGGCGUACUCAGAGUUUCCUCCGACCUGCAACCGCAUCGAGUGCCCUAGGUACGACGUUAUCGACUCUGGCGACGGGUUUGAGAUUCGUCGAUACGAUUCACCUGUUUGGGCCUCCACCGCUCCAAUUCCCGAUGUUUCUCUCCGUCAAGCCACCAGAGCAGGGUUUCUCCAAUUGUUCGAGUACAUCCAAGGAAAGAACAGUUACAACGAAAAGAUAGAAAUGACUGCUCCAGUGAUCACGGAGGUUUCUCCAAGCGACGGACCCUUUUGUGAAUCAUCGUUUGUUGUUAGCUUCUACGUGCCGAAAGUGAACCAAGCAGAUCCACCACCAGCGAAAGGGCUUCAUGUACAGAGAUGGAAUUCUACAUAUGUUGCAGUUAGACAAUUUGGUGGGUUUGUUUCUGAUGAAAACAUUGGAAGUGAGGCUGCUGCUUUGGAUGAAAGUGUUUUUGACACAAAGUGGGGUGCAGCAAUCAGCAAGAGCCGUGGUGGUGGCAGUGCUUCCAUUUAUACCGUGGCUCAGUACAAUUCCCCUUUUGAGUUUCAAGGUCGAGUCAAUGAAAUUUGGUUCUUGUUUGAUAUUGAAGAUGUAGCUGCUGCUCACAAAUUUAGUGUUUAAUGCUAAAAUAUAAA
rnacentral:misc_RNA from 1 species